GGGAUUGUCAACAAGACCAUAAAUUUGCAAACAGUAGAUAACAUCAACGUUGCUUAGCUCCCAAAAACAUCUAAUUUUGUGCAUAUGAACCAUGCCCAUGAGUCCCUUCCCUUCCUUAUCAGCUGUUGAGAGUAGAAAGCAUUCCUCCAGUUGCAGUUGGAAUAACUACUUCCCAACCAGGUCCUUUGAGAGGAAGGACAUUAACACAUGAUUCUGUGUUUCCAUCUUCACCUGAAGGAGGGCGGAUAAGUAGAUCACUACGGUCUAAAAUCCUCUGCAGAUCUUCGUCACUGAUAUCUGUCUGCACCAACUUGUCCUCCUCACUGUCUUGAUCUCUCAAGAGA
rnacentral:misc_RNA from 1 species